rnacentral:rRNA from 1 species
CCGGCACGGGUGGAGUAACACGUAUCCAACCUGCCGUCUACUCUUGGACAGCCUUCUGAAAGGAAAGAUUAAUACAAGAUGGCAUCAUGAGUCCGCAUGUUCACAUGAUUAAAGGUAUUCCGGUAGACGAUGGGGAUGCGUUCCGUUAGAUAGUAGGCGGGGUAACGGCCCACCUAGUCUUCGAUGGAUAGGGGUUCUGAGAGGAAGGUCCCCCACAUUGGAACUGAGACACGGUCCAA